rnacentral:rRNA from 1 species
CUGGCGGCGUGCCUAAUACAUGCAAGUCGAUCGCUGGAAACCUAGCUUGCUAGGUGGAAGGAGAGGCGAACGGGUGAGUAAUACAUAAGCAACCUGCCCACGAAGACUGGGAUAAUCCUUGGAAACGAGGACUAAUACCGGAUAGGUUACGAAUUCGCAUGAAUUUGUAAUUAAAGGUUAGAAACACUGGUGGAUGGGCUUAUGGUGCAUUAGCUAGUUGGUGAGGUAACGGCCCACCAAGGCGAUGAUGCAUAGCCGGGCUGAGAGGCUGAACGGCCACAUUGGGACUGAGACACGGCCCAGACUCCUACGGGAGGCAGCAGUAGGGAAUUUUCGGCAAUGGGGGAAACCCUGACCGAGCAACGCCGCGUGAGUGAUGAAGGUCUUCGGAUUGUAAAGCUCUGUUGUAAGGGAAGAAUGAAUUGGAUAGAAUCCGAUUGUGACGGUACCUUACCAGAAAGCUACGGCUAACUACGUGCCAGCAGCCGCGGUAAUACGUAGGUAGCGAGCGUUAUCCGGAAUUAUUGGGCGUAAAGGGUGCGUAGGCGGCUUGUUAAGUUUAAGGUGAAAGAAUGGGGCUCAACCCCAUAAAGCCUUAGAUACUGGCAAGCUAGAGUACUGGAGAGGGUAGUGGAAUUCCAUGUGUAGCGGUAAAAUGCGUAGAUAUAUGGAGGAACACCGGGUGGCGAAGGCGGCUACCUAGACAGAGACUGACGCUGAGGCACGAAAGCGUGGGGAGCAAAUAGGAUUAGAUACCCUAGUAGUCCACGCCGUAAACGAUGAAUGCUAGAUAUCGGGGCAACUCGGUG